ACAUGCUGUCAUCCUUCCAGCCUUGCUUCAUACAUGACAGAUGAAGAUGUCCAAAAAGGAAUCUGUAUCCAUCCAUUGACUGAAAUUGGUUCAGGCUUUGGUACAGAUGAGAAAUUGGUUCAUGCGGUUUCCAACCAUCUUACAGGCUUGUGAAUGCAUCAUUGAGAUGCUUAGAGGCCAAUAUGCUCAUUCUGUUGGCUGUUAUAACGAAGCUGCUUUUCAUUUUAUUGAAGCAGUGAAGCCUGCAUGUUAUGGUUUUAUUAAGCAUGGGUUAUAUUGGUGCAUAACUGUAAUGUAUUGAUGCAGAACAAAAAGCAGAAUACAAAAAGUUAGUGGGAACACAUCUACAACAAAAAUUGAAGAUCUUGGGAAUUCCAAGCAAUCAAAAGAGACCAAAUCCAUGCACGGUUUGAUCAUGGAAUCAGGCAAAUUAGACGCCAAAAGAAGUGAAAGAACACAUCAAGCAUUGCACGCUGUCGAACACACGAAGGUGUCACAGAAAGCGAAGACAAAUGGUGGAGCUAAUAACGUUAAAGAUCACAAAGGGAAGAAUAGCACAAACACCAACUCUAUCAAAUCUUCAUACUUGUUCAUUCCCGUAACGCUUCUGGUUGGUUACUUCUUUUGAAUUUCAAAGCUUCAAAUUAUCUCUUGUCUAGUGAAGGUACAACUAGUGAUGCUUAAUUACGUGAUGUGUUAGUAUCCUACUUUGGAUUUGUAUCGUACAGAUGUUCCUGCUAUUCUAUUAGUUUGUGUGCUGCAAGAUUUGA